UACGGGGGGGGCAAGCGUUGUUCGGAAUUACUGGGCGUAAAGAGCUCGUUGGCGGUCUGUCGCGUCGGUCGUGAAAACUUGGGGCUUAACCCUGAGCUUGCGGUCGAUACGGGCAUGACUGGAGUUCGGCAGGGGAGACUGGAAUUCCUGGUGUAGCGGUGAAAUGCGCAGAUAUCAGGAGGAACGCCGGUGGCGAAGGCGGGUCUCUGGGCCGAUACUGACGCUGAGGAGCGAAAGCGUGGGGAGCGAACAGG
rnacentral:rRNA from 1 species